GAUGAACGCUGACAGAAUGCUUAACACAUGCAAGUCAACUGUGGCGGACGGGUGAGUAACGCGUAUAGAACUUGCCUCACAGCUAGGGACAACAUUUGGAAACGAAUGCUAAUACCUGAUACUGUGAGAGAGCUUGGCGUCCCAUUAGCUAGUUGGAGAGGUAACGGCUCACCAAGGCGAGGAUGGGUAGCCGGCCUGAGAGGGUGAUCGGCCACAAGGGGACUGGGAGACGGCCCUGACGACUACUGGAGGCAGCAGUGAGGAAUAAUGGACAAUGGACCAGAGUCUGAUCCAGCAUUUCUGUGGGCAAGAACAAGUUUUCGGAAUGUAAAGUGCUUGCAGUUGGGAAGCGGUACCAACAGAAGAAGUGACGGCUAAAUACGUGCCAGCAGCCGCGGUAAUUC
rnacentral:rRNA from 1 species